GCUUCCAAUAGGCGAUGAGGCCAUCCCACACAUCCUUCGUGAGCUCAGUGGGCUUUCCCUCAUACCCGUCGAGCUCCCAAUUUGAAAAAACAAAGUUU